UGGGGAAUAUUGCACAAUGGGCGCAAGCCUGAUGCAGCAACGCCGCGUGAGUGAUGAAGGCCUUCGGGUCGUAAAACUCUGUCCUAAGGGAAGAUAAUGACGGUACCUUAGGAGGAAGCCCCGGCUAACUACGUGCCAGCAGCCGCGGUAAUACGUAGGGGGCAAGCGUUAUCCGGAAUUACUGGGCGUAAAGGGUGCGUAGGUGGCCUGACAAGUCAGGGGUCAAAGGCAACGGCUUAACCGUUGUAAGCCCUUGAAACUGUCGGGCUUGAGUUCAGGAGAGGAAAGCGGAAUUCCAAGUGUAGCGGUGAAAUGCGUAGAUAUUUGGAGGAACACCAGUGGCGAAGGCGGCUUUCUGGACUGAUACUGACACUGAGGCACGAAAGCGUGGGGAGCAAACA
rnacentral:rRNA from 1 species